GGGGCGGGGGCACGGGGGGCUACGGGAGGCAGCAGUGGGGAAUUUUGGACAAUGGGCGCAAGCCUGAUCCAGCCAUGCCGCGUGAGUGAAGAAGGCCUUCGGGUUGUAAAGCUCUUUCGGCGGGGAAGAAAUGGCAACGGUUAAUACCUGUUGUUGAUGACGGUACC
rnacentral:rRNA from 1 species